rnacentral:rRNA from 3 species
GUCGAACGAGCUUCCGUUGAAUGACGUGCUUGCACUGAUUUCAACAAUGAAGCGAGUGGCGAACUGGUGAGUAACACGUGGGGAAUCUGCCCAGAAGCAGGGGAUAACACUUGGAAACAGGUGCUAAUACCGUAUAACAACAAAAUCCGCAUGGAUUUUGUUUGAAAGGUGGCUUCGGCUAUCACUUCUGGAUGAUCCCGCGGCGUAUUAGUUAGUUGGUGAGGUAAAGGCCCACCAAGACGAUGAUACGUAGCCGACCUGAGAGGGUAAUCGGCCACAUUGGGACUGAGACACGGCCCAAACUCCUACGGGAGGCAGCAGUAGGGAAUCUUCCACAAUGGACGAAAGUCUGAUGGAGCAAUGCCGCGUGAGUGAAGAAGGGUUUCGGCUCGUAAAACUCUGUUGUUAAAGAAGAACACCUUUGAGAGUAACUGUUCAAGGGUUGACGGUAUUUAACCAGAAAGCCACGGCUAACUACGUGCCAGCAGCCGCGGUAAUACGUAGGUGGCAAGCGUUGUCCGGAUUUAUUGGGCGUAAAGCGAGCGCAGGCGGUUUUUUAAGUCUGAUGUGAAAGCCUUCGGCUUAACCGGAGAAGUGCAUCGGAAACUGGGAGACUUGAGUGCAGAAGAGGACAGUGGAACUCCAUGUGUAGCGGUGGAAUGCGUAGAUAUAUGGAAGAACACCAGUGGCGAAGGCGGCUGUCUAGUCUGUAACUGACGCUGAGGCUCGAAAGCAUGGGUAGCGAACAGGAUUAGAUACCCUGGUAGUCCAUGCCGUAAACGAUGAGUGCUAAGUGUUGGAGGGUUUCCGCCCUUCAGUGCUGCAGCUAACGCAUUAAGCACUCCGCCUGGGG